rnacentral:rRNA from 1 species
GCAUUGGCCUGGACACCGGCGGGGUUGAUGGGGGGGGGGGACGCGUUAGUGGGAGUUACGGGGUGUAGAUCGUAAGCGUGCGGUCGGGCAAGUCGGAUGUGAGAUGCCGUGUGUGAGCGUGUGAACGGCGUUGGGAACUGGCGGGCAAGAGAGGUGUAGUGGGGGGUAGGAGUGCAGGUGGAGCGGUGAAAUGCGAAGAGAUCUGGGGGAAUACGGGUGGCGAAGGCGGAGCACUGGACAAAGACUGACGCUGAGGUGCGAAAGCGUGGGGAGCAAACAGGAUUAGAUAGCCGGGUAGUC